rnacentral:miRNA from 1 species
AUGCCUCCCCCGGCCCCGCAG